rnacentral:misc_RNA from 2 species
AACGCACAUUGCGCCCUUUGGUAUUCCGAAGGGCAUGCCUGUUCGAGCGUCAUUACAACCACUCAAGCCUUUGCUUGGUCUUGGGGCUCGCGGUCUCGCGGCCCCUAAAAUCAGUGGCGGUGCCGGUCGGCUCUACGCGUAGUAAUACUCCUCGCGACAGGGUCCGGACGGUGUCUUGCCAGCAACCCCCAUAUUAUUUUCAGGUUGACCUCGGAUCAGGUAGGGAUACCCGCUGAACUUAA